rfam:Sarcoptes scabiei Contig653, whole genome shotgun sequence.
GCUUACGACCAUAUCACGUUGAGAACACCGGUUCUCGUCCGAUCACCGAAGUUAAGCAACGUCGAGCCGAGUCAGUACUUGGGAGGGAGACCACUUGGGAACACUCGGUGUCGUAGGCU